rnacentral:rRNA from 1 species
AUGAAACGCUAGCGGCCAGGCUUAAUACAUGCAAGUCGUGGGGCAGCACAGGUUAGCAAUACUAGGAUGCUGGCGACCGGCAAACGGGUGCGGAACACGUACAGCAAACCUUCCCUUAAAAGUGGUGAAUAGCCUCAGAAAGGAUUGGAUUAAUACACCCGUAACAUAAUUUGAAAUGGGCAUCACUUUAUAUUAUAGCUACGGCGGCUUUAUGAUGGGGUGCGUGCGCCUGAUUAGGUAGUUGGCGGGAGUAUAAGGCCCACCAAGCCUAGCGAUCAGUAACUGGUGUGAGAGCACGACCAGUCCACACGGGCACUGAGACAACGGGCCCGACUCCUACGGGAGGCAGCAGUAAGGAAUAUUGGGCAAUGGGACGCAAGUCUGAACCCAGCCAUGCCGCGUGGAAGGAUGAAGGUCCUCUGGAUUGUAAAACUUUCUUUUAUCGGGGAAGAAAAACCGGAAUCUUUUCUGGGUGUUGACGGUACCAUAUGAAUAAGCACCGGCUAACUCCGUGCCAGCAGCCGCGGUAAUACGGAGGGUGCAAGCGUUAUCCGGAUUUCACUGGGUUUAAAGGGUGCGUAGGUGGGUCAGGUAAGUCAGUGGUGAAAUCUCCUGUAGCUUAACUACAGGAAACUGCCAUUGAUACUAUAUUGUCUUGAAUACCUCUGGAGGUGAAGCGGAAUAUGUCAUGUAAGCGGGUGAAAAUGCUUAGAUAUGACAUAGAACAUCUAAUUGCGAAGGCAGCUCCUACUACGGGAAUAUUGGACGACUGAGGCACGAAAGCGUGGGGAUCAAACAGGAUUAGAUACCCUGGUAGUCCACGCCCCUAAACGAUGGAUCACUCGACAAUCAGCGAUACACUGUUGGUGUCUGAGCGAAAAGCAUUAAGUGAUCCCACCUGGGAAGUACGAUCGCAAGAUUGAAACUCAAAGGAAUUGGACGGGGGGUCCGCACAAGCGGUGGAGCAUGUGGUUUUAAUAUUCGAUGAUACGCGAGGAACCUUACCUGGGGCUAGAAUGCAUAUGACCGAGGGUUGAAAGCUCAUCUUUUUAGCAAAUACACAUUUGUAAGGUGCUGCAUGGCUGGUCGUCAGCCUCGUUGCCGUGAGGUGUUGGGUUUAAGUCCCGCAACGAGCGCAACCCCCAUCACUUAGUUGCCAUCAGGUAACGCUGGGAACUCUAAGUGAAACUGCCGUCCGUAAGGACGUGAGGAAGGAGGGGAUGAUGUCAAGUCAUCAUGGCCUUUAUGCCCAGGGCUACACACGUGCUACAAUGGGGAGUACAAUAGGGCAGCAACACGGUGACAGUGAAGCUAAUCUCCAAAAAAACGCUCGUCUCAGUUUCAGAUUGGAGUCUGCAACUCGACUUCAUGAAGCUGGAAAUCGCUAGUAAUCGUAUAUCAGCAAUGAUACGGUGAAUACGUUCCCGGACCUUGUCACACACCGCCCCGUCAAGCCAUGGAAGCUGGGUGUACCUAAAGUCGAUUAACCGUAAGGAGCUCGCCUAGGGUAAAACUGAGUAACUGGGGCU